rnacentral:rRNA from 1 species
CCUACGGGUGGCAGCAGUGGGGAAUAUUGGACAAUGGGCGAAAGCCUGAUCCAGCCAUGCCGCGUGUGUGAAGAAGGCCUUCGGGUUGUAAAGCACUUUCAGUGGGGAAGAAAGCCUUGGGGCUAAUACCCUCGAGGAAGGACAUCACCCACAGAAGAAGCACCGGCUAACUCCGUGCCAGCAGCCGCGGUAAUACGGAGGGUGCGAGCGUUAAUCGGAAUUACUGGGCGUAAAGCGCGCGUAGGCGGUCUGAUAAGCCGGUUGUGAAAGCCCCGGGCUCAACCUGGGAACGGCAUCUGGAACUGUCAGGCUAGAGUGCAGGAGAGGAAGGUAGAAUUCCCGGUGUAGCGGUGAAAUGCGUAGAGAUCGGGAGGAAUACCAGUGGCGAAGGCGGCCUUCUGGACUGACACUGACGCUGAGGUGCGAAAGCGUGGGUAGCAAACAGGAUUAGAUACCCUUGUAGUC